rnacentral:tRNA from 1 species
GCCUGGGUGGCUCAGUCAGUUGAGCGUCUGACUUCGACUCAGGUCAUGAUCUCAGCUCUGUGAGUUCGAACCCCCUGUCGGGCU